rnacentral:antisense_RNA from 1 species
UGUAGGAGUGAGCCUGCUCGCGAUAGCGGAGUGUCAGUCAAUAAAUUUGUAACUGAUCCACCGCCAUCGCGAGCAGGCUCACUCCUACA